AACGAACGCUGGCGGCAGGCCUAAUACAUGCAAGUCGAGCGAAGCCUUCGGGCUUAGCGGCGGACGGGUGAGUAACGCGUGGGAACGUGCCCUUUGGUACGGAAUAGCCCCGGGAAACUGGGAGUAAUACCGUAUGUGGUCGAGAGACGAAAGAUUUAUCGCCAAAGGAUCGGCCCGCGUUGGAUUAGGUAGUUGGUGGGGUAAUGGCCUACCAAGCCGACGAUCCAUAGCUGGUUUGAGAGGAUGAUCAGCCACACUGGGACUGAGACACGGCCCAGACUCCUACGGGAGGCAGCAGUGGGGAAUCUUAGACAAUGGGGGAAACCCUGAUCUAGCCAUGCCGCGUGAUCGAUGAAGGCCUUAGGGUUGUAAAGAUCUUUCAGUGGGGAAGAUAAUGACUGUACCCACAGAAGAAGCCCCGGCUAACUCCGUGCCAGCCGCCGCAGUAAUAC
rnacentral:rRNA from 1 species